rnacentral:rRNA from 1 species
AGAUUGAACGCUGGCGGCAGGCCUAACACAUGCAAGUCGAGCGGUAGAGAGGUGCUUGCACCUCUUGAGAGCGGCGGACGGGUGAGUAAUGCCUAGGAAUCUGCCUAGUGGUGGGGGAUAACGUUCGGAAACGGACGCUAAUACCGCAUACGUCCUACGGGAGAAAGCGGGGGACCUUCGGGCCUCGCGCCAUUAGAUGAGCCUAGGUCGGAUUAGCUAGUUGGUGAGGUAAUGGCUCACCAAGGCGACGAUCCGUAACUGGUCUGAGAGGAUGAUCAGUCACACUGGAACUGAGACACGGUCCAGACUCCUACGGGAGCAGCAGGUGGGGGAAUAGUUGGACAAAGUGGGACGAAAGCCUGAUCCAG